UACGUAGGGGGCCAGCGUUGUUCGGAAUUACUGGGCGUAAAGGGUUCGUAGGCGGUGCGGCAAGUUGGGAGUGAAAUCUCUGGGCUUAACCCAGAGGCUGCUCUCAAAACUGCUGUGCUUGAGUGUGAGAGAGGCUCGUGGAAUUGCAGGUGUAGCGGUGAAAUGCGUAGAUAUCUGCAGGAACACCCGUGGCGAAAGCGGCGAGCUGGAUCACUACUGACGCUGAGGAACGAAAGCUAGGGGAGCAAACAGG
rnacentral:rRNA from 1 species